UACGUAGGGACCAAGCGUUGUUCGGAUUUACUGGGCGUAAAGGGCGCGUAGGCGGCGUGGCAAGUCACUUGUGAAAUCUCCGGGCUUAACUCGGAACGGCCAAGUGAAACUGCCAUGCUAGAGUGCAGAAGGGGCAAUCGGAAUUCUUGGUGUAGCGGUGAAAUGCGUAGAUAUCAAGAGGAACACCUGAGGUGAAGACGGGUUGCUGGGCUGACACUGACGUGAGGCGCGAAAGCCAGGGGAGCAAACGGGG
rnacentral:rRNA from 1 species